rnacentral:rRNA from 1 species
CCUACGGGUGGCAGCAGUGAGGAAUAUUGGUCAAUGGGCGCGAGCCUGAACCAGCCAAGUCGCGUGAGGGAAGACGGUCCUAUGGAUUGUAAACCUCUGUUGUCGGGGAGCAAAAGACGCCACGCGUGGCGUUACGAGAGUACACGAAGAAAAAGCAUCGGCUAACUGCGGGCCAGCAGCGGCGGUAAUACGGAGGAUGCGAGGGUUAUCCGGAUUUAUUGGGUUUAAAGGGUGCGCAGGCGGAAGAUCAAGUCAGCGGUAAAAUUGAGAGGCUCAACCUCUACGAGCCGUUGAAACUGGUUGUCUUGAGUGAGUGAGAAGUAUGCGGAAUGCGUGGUGUAGCAGUGAAAUGCAGAGAUAUCACGCAGAACUCCGAUUGCGAAGGCAGCAUACCGGCGCUCAACUGACGCUCAUGCACGAAAGUGUGGGUAUCGAACAGGAUUAGAUACCCGAGUAGUC